GAUGGACGCUGGCGGCGUGCCUAAUACAUGCAAGUCGAGCGAACGGACGAGAAGCUUGCUUUUCUGAUGUUAGCGGCGGACGGGUGAGUAACACGUGGAUAACCUACCUAUAAGACUGGGAUAACUUCGGGAAACCGGAGCUAAUACCGGAUAAUAUUUUGAACCGCAUGGUUCAAAAGUGAAAGACGGUCUUGCUGUCACUUAUAGAUGGAUCCGGGCUGCAUUAGCUAGUUGGUAAGGUAACGGCUUACCAAGGCAACGAUGCAUAGCCGACCUGAGAGGGUGAUCGGCCACACUGGAACUGAGACACGGUCCAGACUCCUACGGGAGGCAGCAGUAGGGAAUCUUCCGCAAUGGGCGAAAGCCUGACGGAGCAACGCCGCGUGAGUGAUGAAGGUCUUCGGAUCGUAAAACUCUGUUAUUAGGGAAGAACAUAUGUGUAAGUAACUGUGCACAUCUUGACGGUACCUAAUCAGAAAGCCACGGCUAACUACGUG
rnacentral:rRNA from 1 species